rnacentral:rRNA from 1 species
AGCUCGAACGCUUUUUUCUUUCACCGGUAGCUUGCUCCACCGAAAGAACCGNNGUGGCGAACGGGUGAGUAACNCGUGGGUAACCUGNCCACUCANAAGGGGAUAACACUUGGAAACNGGUGCUAAUACCGUAUAACANUAUUUUCCGCAUGGAAGAAAGUUGAAAGGCGCUUUUGCGUCACUGAUGGAUGGACCCGCGGUACAUUANCUAGUUGGUGAGGUAACGGCUCACCAAGGCAACGAUGCNUAGCCGACCUGAGAGGGUGAUCGGCCACACUGGGACUGAGACACGGCCCANACUCCUACGGGAGGCAGCAGUAGGGAAUCUUCGGCAAUGGACGAAAGUCUGACCGAGCAACGCCGCGUGAGUGAAGAAGGUUUUCGGAUCGUAAAACUCUGUUGUUAGAGAAGAACAAGGAUGAGAGUAAAAUGUUCAUCCCUUGACGGUAUCUAACCAGAAAGCCACGGCUAACUACGUGCCAGCAGCCGCGGUAAUACGUAGGUGGCAAGCGUUGUCCGGAUUUAUUGGGCGUAAAGCGAGCGCAGGCGGUUUCUUAAGUCUGAUGUGAAAGCCCCCGGCUCAACCGGGGAGGGUCAUUG